rnacentral:rRNA from 1 species
GACGAACGCUGGCGGCGUGCUUAACACAUGCAAGUCGAGCGGUAAGGCCCUUUCGGGGGUACACGAGCGGCGAACGGGUGAGUAACACGUGGGUGACCUGCCCUCAGCUCUGGGAUAAGCCUGGGAAACCGGGUCUAAUACUGGAUAUGACUCCAUGACGCAUGUUGUGGGGUGGAAAGCCUUGUGCGGCUGAGGAUGGGCCCGCGGCCUAUCAGCUUGUUGGUGGGGUGAGGCCUACCAAGGCGACGACGGGUAGCCGGCCUGAGAGGGCGACCGGCCACACUGGGACUGAGACACGGCCCAGACUCCUACGGGAGGCAGCAGUGGGGAAUCUUGCGCAAUGGGCGAAAGCCCUGACGCAGCGACGCCGCGUGAGGGAUGACGGCCUGG